rnacentral:rRNA from 1 species
AUUACCCGCUGAACUUAAGCAUAUCAAUAAGCGGAGAAAAAGAAACUAACAAGGAUUCCCUAGUAACUGCGAGUGAAGCGGGAAAAGCUCAAAUUUAAAAUCUGGCAGUCUUUUGGCUGUCCGAGUUGUAAUCUAGAGAAGUGUUAUCCGCGCUGGACCGUGUACAAGUCUCCUGGAAUGGAGCAUCAUAGAGGGUGAGAAUCCCGUCUUUGACAUGGACUGCCAGGGCUUUGUGAUGCGCUCUCAAAGAGUCGAGUUGUUUGGGAAUGCAGCUCAAAAUGGGUGGUAAAUUCCAUCUAAAGCUAAAUAUUGGCGAGAGACCGAUAGCGAACAAGUACCGUGAGGGAAAGAUGAAAAGAACUUUGGAAAGAGAGUUAAACAGUACGUGAAAUUGCUGAAAGGGAAACGCUUGAAGUCAGUCAUGUCGUCCAGGGAUCAACCUUGCUUUUGCUUGGUGCACUUUCUGGUUUGACGGGUCAGCAUCAAUUUUGACCAUUGGAAAAAGGCUAAGGGAAUGUGGCAUCUUUGGAUGUGUUAUAGCCCUUGGUCGCAUACAAUGGUUGGGAUUGAGGAACUCAGCACGCCGAAAGGUCGGGUUUUUAACCACGUUCGUGCUUAGGAUGCUGGCAAUAUGGCUUUAAUCGACCCGUCUUGAAACACGGACCAAGGAGUCUAACAUGCCUGCGAGUGUUUGGGUGGAAAACCCGAGCGCGUAAUGAAAGUGAAAAGUUGAGAUCCCUGUCGUGGGGAGCAUCGACGCCCGGACCAGACCUUUUGUGACGGUUCCGCGGUAGAGCAUGUAUGUUGGGACCCGAAAGAUGGUGAACUAUGCCUGAAUAGGGUGAAUCCAGAGGAAACUCUGGUGGAGGCUCGUAGCGAUUCUGACGUGCAAAUCGAUCGUCAAAUUUGGGUAUAGGGGCGAAAGACUAAUCGAACCAUCUAGUAGCUGGUUCCUGCCGAAGUUUCCCUCAGGAUAAU